AUAAGGGCGCACGGUGGAUGCCUUGGCACUAGGAGCCGAUGAAGGACGGGACUAACACCGAUAUGCUUUGGGGAGCUGUACGUAAGCUAUGAUCCAGAGAUUUCCGAAUGGGGGAACCCAGCAUCUUUAAUAGGAUGUUACGAUUGUGUGAAUACAUAGCACAUUCGAGGUAGACGCAGAGAACUGAAACAUCUAAGUACCUGCAGGAAGAGAAAGAAAAUUCGAUUCCCUGAGUAGCGGCGAGCGAAACGGGAAAAGCCCAAACCAACAAGCUUGCUUGUUGGGGUUGUAGGACUCCAAUAUGGUCGUUCUUUCAGAUAGUCGAAUGACUUGGAAAAGUCAGUCAAAGAGGGUAAAAACCCCGUAGACGAAAUGUGGAAGACACCUAGGAGGAUCCUGAGUACGGCGGAACACGAGAAAUUCCGUCGGAAUCCGGGAGGACCAUCUCCCAAGGCUAAAUACUCCCUAGUGACCGAUAGUGAACCAGUACCGUGAGGGAAAGGUGAAAAGCACCCCGGAAGGGGAGUGAAAUAGAACCUGAAACCGUGUGCCUACAACAAGUCAAAGCCCGUUAAUGGGUGAUGGCGUGCCUUUUGUAGAAUGAACCGGCGAGUUACGAUUGCAUGCGAGGUUAAGUUGAAGAGACGGAGCCGCAGCGAAAGCGAGUCUGAAUAGGGCGUUUGAGUAUGUAGUCGUAGACCCGAAACCAUGUGAUCUACCCAUGUCCAGGUUGAAGGUGCGGUAAAACGCACUGGAGGACCGAACCCACGUACGUUGAAAAGUGCGGGGAUGAGGUGUGGGUAGCGGAGAAAUUCCAAACGAACUUGGAGAUAGCUGGUUCUCUCCGAAAUAGCUUUAGGGCUAGCCUCGGAAUUGAGAAUGAUGGAGGUAGAGCACUGUUUGGACUAGGGGCCCAUCUCGGGUUACCGAAUUCAGAUAAACUCCGAAUGCCAUUCAUUCAUAUCCGGGAGUCAGACUGUGAGUGAUAAGAUCCAUAGUCGAAAGGGAAACAGCCCAGACCACCAGCUAAGGUCCCAAAAUAU
rnacentral:rRNA from 1 species